GGACAGUUACAAAGAGAGAGAGUACAAAGGCUGUGGCUCUUGUGCAAGGCCAGCACACAGCCAUGACACCUUCUACCACUCCCUCUUCCAUUUGGCCAGUUGCAAUUCAGAGUGACUUUAGUGCCUAUGGAAAUGAGAGGACAAUGUUCAGCAAGACCAGGAGCUGCUGAAGACAUGAAUCACUAAAGCUUUCCCACAAAGCUUUGCCAAUACGGGAACAAAAGGGUUGCCCUACAGAAACACAUCACGGGUCUAUCUAGUCCAGCAUCCCGCCUCUGGCAGCGGCCAGUAACUGAUGCUUCAGAGCAAAUCAAAACCACAGCAAGCACCUAGCUAAUUAUGAGAUGUGAUGCGUAGAGGAAAAAAAAAAAAAGCUUUCCCAGGAUCUCUUCAGCUGCUGCUUCAGCUAUGGCAAACAACAGAACAAAACCCAAAUCAGAGCCUUUGUUCAGCAAAGAUCUCCACACAGAAGAAAGAGCCUGCCAAAU